rnacentral:rRNA from 1 species
CCUACGGGUGGCAGCAGUGAGGAAUAUUGGUCAAUGGGCGCAAGCCUGAACCAGCCAAGUCGCGUGCGGGAUGACGGCCCUAUGGGUUGUAAACCUCUUUUAUCCGGGAAUAAAGCGCGCCACGCGUAGCGCUUCGCGAGUACCCUAUGAAAAAGCAUCGGCUAACUCCGUGCCAGCAGCCGCGGUAAUACGGAGGAUGCGAGCGUUAUCCGGAUUUAUUGGGUUUAAAGGGUGCGCAGGCGGCAGUUCAAGUCAGCGGUAAAAGUGCGGGGCUCAACCCCGUCCCGCCGUUGAAACUGGUGGUCUCGAGUUGGAGAGAAGUAUGCGGAAUGCGUGGUGUAGCGGUGAAAUGCAUAGAUAUCACGCAGAACUCCGAUUGCGAAGGCAGCAUGCCGGCGCCCAACUGACGCUGAGGCACGAAAGCGUGGGUAUCGAACAGGAUUAGAUACCCGAGUAGUC